UACGGGGGGGGGCAAGCGUUGUUCGGAAUUACUGGGCGUAAAGGGCUCGUAGGUUGCCAACUAAGUCGGACGUGAAAUCCCUCAGCUUAACUGGGGAACUGCGUCCGAUACUGGAUGGCUUGAGUUUGGGAGAGGGAUGCGGAAUUCCAGGUGUAGCGGUGAAAUGCGUAGAUAUCUGGAGGAACACCGGUGGCGAAGGCGGCAUCCUGGACCAACACUGACACUGAGGAGCGAAAGCCAGGGGAGCAAACGGG
rnacentral:rRNA from 1 species